UAAAUUAAUAAAGUAAACUUUUCAUAAUGCUGCAGGGCCAUCCUCGCGGCGCUCUCCAAGAUCGGACAUUUCAAGCGAUGCAGAUGAUUGUCGCACAGGAACGCCAGCACACACUCCUGUGCCCCUUGCAGUACCAUCUCCAUCUGACAUUGUGGAAAGUGAUGAUAUUUCUGUUGCACGAAGUCAGACCAUGCACUCCUCAGCGACCAGCAUGGAUGAUAGACCACUGCUCCGGCGUUCACGAAGUGAGACUGUGCAGCCCUCUGCGCGGCAGCAUAGAUGAAAUGUCAAUACCC